rnacentral:rRNA from 1 species
UACGUAGGGUGCGAGCGUUGUCCGGAAUUACUGGGCGUAAAGAGCUCGUAGGUGGUUUGUCGCGUUGUUCGUGAAAACUCACAGCUUAACUGUGGGCGUGCGGGCGAUACGGGCAGACUGGAGUACUGCAGGGGAGACUGGAAUUCCUGGUGUAGCGGUGGAAUGCGCAGAUAUCAGGAGGAACACCGGUGGCGAAGGCGGGUCUCUGGGCAGUAACUGACGCUGAGGAGCUAAAGCGUGGGGAGCGAACAGG